rnacentral:rRNA from 1 species
UGUGUAGGCGGUUGCUUAAGUUUGGUGUGAAAUCUCCCGGCUCAACUGGGAGGGUGCGCCGAAUACUGAGUAACUAGAGUGCGGGAGAGGAAAGUGGAAUUCCUGGUGUAGCGGUGAAAUGCGUAGAUAUCAGGAGGAACACCGGUGGUGUAGACGGCUUUCUGGACCGUAACUGACGCUGAGACACGAAAGCGUGGGUAGCAAACAGGAUUAGAUACCCUGGUAGUCCACGCCCUAAACGAUGCACAUUUGGUGUGGGUCAUUCAGUUGAUCCGUGCCGGAGCUAACGCGUUAAAUGUGCCGCCUGGGGAGUACAGUCGCAAGGCUGAA